rnacentral:rRNA from 1 species
AGUGAACGCUGGCGGUAGGCCUAACACAUGCAAGUCGAACGGCAGCACAGUAAGAGCUUGCUCUUACGGGUGGCGAGUGGCGGACGGGUGAGGAAUACAUCGGAAUCUACUUUUUCGUGGGGGAUAACGUAGGGAAACUUACGCUAAUACCGCAUACGACCUACGGGUGAAAGCAGGGGAUAUUCGGACCUUGCGCGAUUGAAUGAGCCGAUGUCGGAUUAGCUAGUUGGCGGGGUAAAGGCCCACCAAGGCGACGAUCCGUAGCUGGUCUGAGAGGAUGAUCAGCCACACUGGAACUGAGACACGGUCCAGACUCCUACGGGAGGCAGCAGUGGGGAAUAUUGGACAAUGGGCGCAAGCCUGAUCCAGCCAUACCGCGUGAGUGAAGAAGGCCUUCGGGUUGUAAAGCCCUUUUGUUGGGAAAGAAAAGCAGCAGGUUAAUACCCCGCUGUUCUGACGGUACCCAAAGAAUAAGCACCGGCUAACUUCGUG